CUGCCACCGCUUCUCCUGCGAAGACGCCGACGCUACCACCGCCUCUGCCCCAGCCCUCAUCGUCCAGGUUCGUUUUUUUUUUUUCUUUCCUUUUUUAUAGUUAAUAAUAUGUGUGUUUUAUUGUUGUCUUGACAAGAUUUCUCCAGCCCAGAUGACACACUGCUGGUGCCAUCUCCUCCUCCCCCUAUCUGCAGCUUAUAUACCAGGUUGGUUAGAAGAGAGGCCGGUUGACUCUUGAAGAUGAAGAUGAUGAGCAACCAAA